AGGACAAACGCUGGCGGCGUACCUAAGACAUGCAAGUCGAACGGAUCAUAUGGUUUCGGCCGUAUGGUGAGUGGCGGACGGGUGAGUAACGCGUAGGAACCUGUCAUGAAGUGGGGGAUAACGCUGGGAAACCGGCGCUAAUACCGCAUGAGGUCGCAGCAAUGCGAAGAAAGCUUUUCGCGCAAGUGGAAGGCGCUAGAUGAGGGGCCUGCGUCCGAUUAGCUUGUUGGUGGGGUAAAGGCCUACCAAGGCAUCGAUCGGUAGC
rnacentral:rRNA from 1 species